rnacentral:tRNA from 1 species
UAGGGAAUAGCUCAGUUGUGGAGCAUAUGCAUAGCAUGCAUGAGGUCCUGGGUUCAAUCCCCAUUGCCUUCA